rnacentral:rRNA from 1 species
AGUGAACGCUGGCGGUAGGCCUAGCACAUGCAAGUCGAACGGCAGCACAGUAAGAGCUUGCUCUUACGGGUGGCGAGUGGCGGACGGGUGAGGAAUACAUCGGAAUCUACUUUUUCGUGGGGGAUAACGUAGGGAAACUUACGCUAAUACCGCAUACGACCUACGGGUGAAAGCAGGGGAUCUUCGGACCUUGCGCGAUUGAAUGAGCCGAUGUCGGAUUAGCUAGUUGGCGGGGUAAAGGCCCACCAAGGCGACGAUCCGUAGCUGGUCUGAGAGGAUGAUCAGCCACACUGGAACUGAGACACGGUCCAGACCCCUACGGGAGGCAGCAGUGGGGAAUAUUGGACAAUGGGCGCAAGCCUGAUCCAGCCAUACCGCGUGGGUGAAGAAGGCCUUCGGGUUGUAAAGCCCUUUUUGUUGGGAAAGAAAAGCAGCAGGUUAAUACCCCGCUGUUCUGACGGUACCCAAAGAAUAAGCACCGGCUAACUUCGUG